rnacentral:lncRNA from 1 species
CAGGCAGACAAUGGUUCCCUGCAGGACUCCAUCCAUUGUUCCAUCAGGAGGAUAUAGCUUCAGAGUCAAGAAAAAAAUUUUGCAGAAGGAAUGAAUGCCUUUAAGGGCAUUGUGACCAGCUGCUGACGCCCAGAAGUCUGGUGGUUCAAGAUGUAAUCUGAGACGAAGAAAGACUUUUCCCCGAGGUUCCCUGAAAUUCCCCCUCCCUUACUUCCUGGUCUCAUAAAAACUCCCCACUACUUCUUUUUGUUAGGGUGGAUUUGAGAGAUCUUGACCUCUUGCCUUCUCGCUUUGGCCAAAUGGAAUAAAUCUUCCUCUGUCUCCAAGCAUCUGUGUGUCAGUGUUUGGCAUCAACAGCACAUCAGGUUCCUGAGCCUGAAUUUGGGCUUCGACAACUCGGGCUCCCGGGACACAUGCAAGAGGGAAACGGAAUCACACCGCAGUCUCAGCCACUGCGGAUAUGACCAACUAGGGCUCUAGUUAGUCACUGUAUGGGGGAUACAGGGCUUUGUGGGCUACCCUAGUAGCCUGCCCCUGUUGUUACAGUUUGAAGACUGACGUUCCAAGCCAGGGGCUUAUAGGCAAGCCUCUGGAACAAAGCCUCUUGUAAUAGACUGGACAUUGGCCCUAUUUGUCCCCAGGCCACAACCCAUUUAACUUCAUCCUCGGGAGCCCCGAUUUCGUCGUUUUCCCUUAAGUCCUUCGUGCUCCUGAACCGUGGGGAAAUGUUGCCAGGUUUGGUUUGCUAAGAUGUAGGCUGCGCUGGGUCGGCGCCUCUCCCUCCUCCCCAGCUCGCCCCGCGUUCCGAACCUCCCAGCUCCCGGGUCCUCUGCCACUAGCUGUCGUUGGAGGUGCUCCUGAGUCAACAAACUAAAUCUCCCCAGCGGGAAAG